rnacentral:lncRNA from 1 species
GACCGCGCUUGGAUCAAACUAGUUAUUGCCGCUGGAACCGGUUUUUCUUGUUGCCGUUGGUUGGGUUCGUCGAUGGUGUGGUGGAGAACGUAGCUGAAAGAAGGAUGGAAGUUGCAGUUUGAGAGGUUGGUUCUUCGCAGGAGGUAGCGUCGAUAAGCCAUUGGUGAGAACUGAAAGGAGGUGAGAAUUAGGUUAAAGCAAGAAAAAGCGUAGAACGAAAUUGGGCAAUUCAGAACGUAGGAAUGUUGAUUUGUUUGGCAUGAAACGUGAUCGGUGGAUGGUGGCGUUACGGCGUUACCUUGAAUUUGAGUACGGUGGAUCAGUGCAGCUGGGUGGCGGAAGAGCCUAAUGCUGCUGGACUGCUGUUUACUGGUAGUGGUAGCUUAGCGUUUGUUUCUCCAAAUCAAAAACGCUGUCGUUUCAUAUUUUGGAGUUUUUUUUUUUUUUUUACUUAAAAAAAAAGACAUAUUUUUAUUAUAAAUAAAAAGAGUAAAUAGCCAAAAUCGUCCCUGAAAGAUACCCGAUCUUCAUUUUAGUCCUCGAAAGAUAAAGUUAAUCAAAAUCGUCUCUGAAAAAUAUCUCGAUCUUCAUUUUGGUCCUCGAAAGAUAAAGUUAAUCAAAAUCGUCCCCGAAACAUAUACGAUUGGUCAUGUUAGUCUUUCUGUCAGUUGGAUGAGGUCACAUGUCACGUUAAGUGUCACGUGGCAUAUGAUGACGUGGAGGGCUAAUGCCACGUGUCACAAGAUGAUUGGUUGACGUGUCAGAUCAGUGACACGUGGCAUGCCACGUGGCACUUGAGAUGUAAAAAAAUUAUUUAUAAUCAAAAUAGUCCUUGAAAGUUUAAACGUAAGUCAUUUUCAUCUCUAAAAUAGUAAAAUUUUAAAAAUUAAUCAAAUUAGUUCUUAUAUAAUUUUUUUUAUUUUUUAUUUAUAAUAUUAAAUUUAAAAUAUUUUUUGAUACUAUUAAUUUUAAUAGAAAUGUAAUUGACAAUCAAAAAAUUAGUAAUUGUAUCUUUUCUUUUUAAAAAUUUUUUCAAUAAAAAUAUCUCUCUCCUUUAAUUCUUGUCAAAAUCUCUCUUAUUUUUUUCUAUUCUAAAAUUUUUUUCUUAUAUUAUUACAUUUUGCUGGAAUAUAGGUAUUUGUUAACCUAAACAAAGUUAUAUGCUCAAAAUCAAAAUUUAUGUAUAUUAACCUAAAUGAAAGUAAUACCGUAAUAAAAGAAAAAGAUGUAUAAAUUUUUAUUAACUUUGUUUAGGUUAACAAAUACAUACAUUUCAAUUUUGAGAAUAUAUAUAUAUAUAUAUAUUCCAGCAAAAUGUAAUAAUGUAAGAAAAAAGUUUUAGAAUAGAAAAGAAUAAGAGAGAUUUUGACAAGAAUUAAAGGAGAGAGAUAAUUUUAUUGAAAAAAAUUUAAGAAAAAAAGAUACAAUUACUAAUUUUUUGAUUGUCAAUUACAUUUCUAUUAAAAUUAGUAGUAUCAAAAAAUAUUUUAAAUUUAAUAUUAUCAAGAAAAAAUAAAAAAAAAAUUAUAUAAGGACUAAUUUGAUUAAUUUUUAAAAUUUUAGGGAUGAAAAUGACUUACGUCUGAACUUUCAAGGACUAUUUUGAUUAUAAAUAACUUUUUUACAUGUCAAGUGUCACGUGUCACUGGCCUGACACGUGGCAUGCCAGGUGUCACUGAUCUGACACGUCAACAAUCAUCUUGUGACACGUGGCAUUAGCCCUCCACGUCAUCAUCCAACUGACGGAAGGACUAACGUGACCAAUCGUGUAUCUUUCGGAGACGAUUUUGAUUAACUUUAUCUUCCGAGAACCAAAAUAAAGAUCGGAGUAUCUUUCAAAGAUGAUUUUGGCUAUUUACUCUAAAUAAAAAAUACUUUUAUAUUAACAUAAAAAGCUUACACAGACAAAUUUUUAAUUUAAAACUAAUACACCAAUAAAUUAUUAAAUUUAGUUGUUGUUGUAAAAUAAAUAAAUAAAAAUAAAUAAAUAUAAAAUAAAGAGGCAAGAGGCNNNNNNNNNNNNNNNNNNNNNNNNNNNNNNNNNNNNNNNNNNNNNNNNNNNNNNNNNNNNNNNNNNNNNNNNNNNNNNNNNNNNNNNNNNNNNNNNNNNNNNNNNNNNNNNNNNNNNNNNNNNNNNNNNNNNNNNNNNNNNNNNNNNNNNNNNNNNNNNNNNNNNNNNNNNNNNNNNNNNNNNNNNNNNNNNNNNNNNNNNNNNNNNNNNNNNNNNNNNNNNNNNNNNNNNNNNNNNNNNNNNNNNNNNNNNNNNNNNNNNNNNNNNNNNNNNNNNNNNNNNNNNNNNNNNNNNNNNNNNNNNNNNNNNNNNNNNNNNNNNNNNNNNNNNNNNNNNNNNNNNNNNNNNNNNNNNNNNNNNNNNNNNNNNNNNNNNNNNNNNNNNNNNNNNNNNNNNNNNNNNNNNNNNNNNNNNNNNNNNNNNNNNNNNNNNNNNNNNNNNNNNNNNNNNNNNNNNNNNNNNNNNNNNNNNNNNNNNNNNNNNNNNNNNNNNNNNNNNNNNNNNNNNNNNNNNNNNNNNNNNNNNNNNNNNNNNNNNNNNNNNNNNNNNNNNNNNNNNNNNNNNNAUAUUGAUUGUCGCUGGCCAAUGGGUUGCUGCUUGCACAAGGCGAGAUUCAAACCUCCGACACUUGUUUAAACGGACUAACAAGCUAACUAUUAGAUCAACCCAACUUGAUUUUUGCUUCCUCUAUUUAUACACACAAAAUUAUCUCUUUCAACCAUCAUUAAAUCUAUUCUUUGUCUCCAACAUUGGAAAAUAUGAAUGGCUCAUAUUAAAUAGAUAUCUAUAUCGUAACACUUUCUUUUUACUAUUCAUUUUGGAUUAUGCCUCGUUAAAAUCUUACUAAAAAAAAUCUAAUGAAAAAAAUUUCUGUGAAAAAAAAUUUAGUGAAGAAAAAAGAGUACAAUAUCAUUUGUGAUGAAAACUGUCUCAUUAAAAACUUUGUAAAAAAAUCAAUAAAAAAAUUUUGACCAAAGAAAAAAAAGUACAGUCUCUCCCUCUUGUCAACAUUAUUUUAUAUCUCGAAAUCUGAUGUACCAAUCUUUUAAAGGAGGAUUUUAGAAGUGACUUUGUAAAUAAAUCUGUCAGAUUAUCGUUUGAGCGGAUCUGUUGGACAUCAAUUGUUCCUUGAUUUUGAAUGUCAUGAGUGAAAAAAAAUUUGGGAUAAAUAUACUUUGUUCUAUCACAUUUGAUGUAUCCACCCUUAAAUUGAACAAUACGUGCUGUAUUAUAUUCAAACAGAACCGUUUGAGCCAUUUUUCUAUCGGUUAGUCCACAUAAUGAUAGAAUAUAUUGGAUUAAACUCCUGACCUUAAAACACUCGCGACUAGCUUCAUGUAUCGCUAGUAUUUCAACAUGAUUAGAAGAUAUUACUGCAAUCGCCUGUUUUGUGGACCUCCAUGAUAUAACUGUACCACCAUAUGUAAAUAUAUAUCCUGUUUUUGUGUGGAUCAAACAAGUAUUCUGCAUCUGUAUAGCCAUCACGUUGUGACUUGGAUUCAUAUGGAUAAAACAAUACCAUAUCAACCGUUCCAUGAAAAUAUCAAAAGAUUUGUUUGAUUUCAUUCCAAUAUUUUCUAAUUGGAGAAAAACUAUACAUUGCUAGUAAAUUCACAGCAGAUGAUAUAUCGGGUCGUGUAUUAUUAGCAAAAUACAUUAGCGCCCAAAUGAUACUGAGAUAUGUUACUUCAGAACCAAGAAUAUCUUCAUUUUUUUCUUUAGGAUGGUAUUGAUCAUUUUCUACAUCUAAAAACCUUAUGAUUAUUAGGGUACUUAAUAGAUGUGACUUAUCCAUAUAAAAUCUCUUCAAGAUCUUUUUUGUGUAUGUUGUUUGAUGAAUAAAGAUCCUAUUUUUGUAUGCUUGAUCUGUAAGUUAAGACAAAAUUUAAUCUUUUCAAGAUCUUUCAUCUCAAACUCUUCUUUUAGAGUUUUUAUAAUUGUUGGAAUCUCUUUAAGGGUUCCAAUAAUAUUUAAAUUAUCAACGUACACAGCAAUUAUAAUGAAUCCAGAUGCAGAUUCUUUAUGAAAACACAUGGGUAGAUAUCUUUUUUAAAUUCAUUUUUUGUCAGAUACUUAGUAAGACGAUUAUACUACAUUCGUCCAUAUUGCUUUAGACCAUCUAAAGAUAUUUGCAAUUUACUGAGUAUAACCUUGCGAAUAUUCAUUGGAUGGCUUAGUUAUCUUUAAUUCUUCAAGGACUUUCAUAUAAAUAUCACGACCUAAUGAUUCGGACAAAUAGGUUGUUACUACAUCCAUUAGAUGUAUAUGUAGUUUAUGGUAUCCGGAUAAACUGACCAAAUAACCCAAUAUUAUUGCAUAUACUACAGAGGAAUAUAUUUCUUCAUAAUCUAUACAGGACUUUUGUGAAAAAUCUUACGCCACAAGUCGAGCUUUGUAGCGUACAGCUUCAUUUUUCUCAUUUCGUUUUCUCACAAAUAUCCAUCUAUAUCCAACAGGUUUUACAUCUUCUGGUGUAUGGACUACAGAUAAAAAAACUUCACGUUUUUCAAGUAAGUCUAACUCAACCUUCAUAAUUUCUUCCCAUUUUAGCCAACCAUUCAUUUGUCGACAUUCUUUGGCUGUUUUUGGCUCAAGAUCCUUACUUUCAUGCAUGAUGUGUAAUGUCACAUUAUAUGCAAAUAUUUCAUCGAUAAUUAUUUUAUUUCGAUUCCAUUUUCUCCUAUAAAUGCAUAAUUUAUCGAGAUCCUAUUAUUUUCACAAUUUUUAGUAUUUUUCAAGUACCUGAACGUCUUUUGCCGUCAAAACUAUAUCAGAAUUUUGGACAAUUGCAAGUAUUUUUAUUAUACUUUUAUCUUUUCCAACAGAAAUAGUAUUUACCUUUUUUCUUUUUCGAGGAUUUUUGUCUUUGAAAUCGACAGGCCUACUGCACUUCUGAUGUGAAUUUGUUUCAGUUGUCAUUUGUCUGACUUGGACAUCAAUUCGGAUUGGAGCAUUUUCAGCUGGUAUAUAGGAUUUAGUAAUCCUUUUCAUAUCAGAAAAUGCAUUAGACAACUCAUUUGCUAUUCUUUGCAAACGUAUAAUCUUUUAAACUUUUAGUUCACAUUGUCCUGAUUGAGGAUCUAAAUGAUGCAUUUCAAUUAAGUUCAUUUUCAAGAGACUUAUUUUUUUUUCCUAAUGUUAAAAAUUUUGAUUCAUCAAAAUGAUAAUCUACAAAUCGAGCUUUAAACACAUCUCCUAAUUGUAUCUCAAGAUACAUUCCUAUAAAAGGAGAAUCAUAUCCCACGUAAAUUUUUUAUUUUCUUUGGGGUCCCAUUUUGGUGCGAGAAGGUUGGGCAAUUUGAACAUAUAUUGCACACCCAAAUAUCCUCAAAUGAAAAAUAUUUGGCUGCUAGCCAAAAGCUAAUUGUAGAGGAGAGAAUUGAUAGUAACUUGUUGGCCUCUAUCGAAUAAGUACUGCAGCAUGUAAAAUUGUAUGCCCCAAACAGAGAUUGGAAGAUUUGUUCUCAUAAGUAAGGGUCUAGCAAUCAAUUGGAGACGUUUUAAUAAGUGAUUCUACUAACCCAUUUUGCGUGUGGACAUGAGCUACUGGAUGUUCAACGCUUAUUCUAUUAGCCAUAUAAUAAGCAUCAAAGGUUUGGGAAGUGAAUUCACCAGCAUUAUCAAGACAAAUUGUUUUAAUUAUAUUUUUUGAAAACUGUACUUUUAAUCGAAUAAUUUGAGAAAGUAAUCUCACAAAUGCCAAGUUGCGAAAAGACAAUAAGUACACAUAUGACCAUCUCGAAUAUGCGUUUUUAUUAAAACCAUAAAAUAUCUAAAAGAUCCACAUGGUGGAUAAAUAGGUCCACAUAUAUCGUGUUGAAUCCUUUCAAGAAAUUUAGGAGACUCAAAUCCAAUCUUUACUAAUUACUAAUAAUGGCCUUAAAAUUAUUUUUCCCUUAAAACAUGCAGCUCAGUAAAAUUCACUAGAUUUAAAAAUUUUCUAGUUCUUUAGUGAAUGUCCAUCGAAGUUUUCAAUAAUUCUCUGCAUCAUUGUUGUUCCAGGAUGCUUCAAUCAAUUAUGUCAAAUUAUGAAUUUAUUUUGGCUUGUAAACUUCUAGUUCACAAUGACAUGUGAUUCAAUUGUACUAAUUUUAGUAUAAUAUAACCCAGAUAAAAAUGAGGAUAACUUUUUUAAUAUAAUAUUUUUAUUUGAAUCAGAGUUGUGAUACAAAAGUACUCAUGAUUUUCGUCAUUCAUUGUUUCAAUAUGAUAUCCAUUUCGACGAAUAUCUUUAAAAUUUAAUAAGUUCCUUAGAGACUUACUAGAUAAUAGGCAUUAUUUAUUAUGAAUUUUGUUCCUCUGAGAAACAAAAUUAUAGCUCUUUCGGAGCCUUCUAUUAUAUUGUCUGAGCCAAUAAUGAUAUUAACACAUUCUUCUUUUGGUACAAGAUGAGUAAAAUAUAUAUUACGUUUGAGAAUGGUAUGCGAACUUGCACUAUCCGCAAGACAAACAUCUUCAUUAUAUAUCCUUAUCAUUUUCUUCAAAGCAUAGUUGUCAGAAUUGAACCGGUAAUCGAACCAGUCAAGUUACUGGAUCACUGGGUUACUAGUUCAAUCGGUGAGUUACUGGUUGAAUCGAUUGACUCGGUUCUAUGUAAAUAAAAAAUAAAAAAGAAUAAAAAAAUUAGCUGCGAAGGAUAUUUCUCUUAUUGAGGAUAGGGAUGAAGGCAAUAAAUUAGUUCAAAAUAUUUUUUAAAUUCUUUUUCUUGAUACUGCUGCUGCAAGAGUACGUUCGUAACAUGGAAGUAUCACUGUCUUUUAAUAAUUAUAUCAUUCUUCAAAUUUCUUCCACAGAUCUGCAAGAUCUUUUAGUAUGAGAUAUUUAUUUUUCAAUCCUUCGCCAAGACGACAACGAAAGAAGAUCAUGACUUUGGUUUUAUCCUUUUGAGAUGCAUUAUUUUCAGUCUUAAUGGUAUUUUCAAGAUCCAUUGAAUCAAAAUAAAUUUCGGCAUCUAAUAUUCAUGAUAAGUAGUUGUUUCCAAAUAUAUCAAAACUAUUAAAUUCAAAAUGAGAGAAUUUUGACAUAAUAAAAAUUUAUUACCUGAGUCUUCCUAAAACUUGAUCAGAGUUUCUUGCUGAUAACGUGUUAUAAAAUAAAUAAAUAAAAAAGAUGAAAUAAAUAUAAAAUAAAGACGUAUAGAUAGAAGAUUAUAGUAUUAAUAUUUACCAAUAUUAUCAUCUCGAUAUAAUAAAAAUGAUUCAUAUAUAUUUAUAUAUUGCAGCGUGCAUAGAGGGACAAAGAAAGAGGAGUAUUUUAUAUUCUUAGGGUCGUUUGAAAAGUUUCAAAAGUAAUUUUUUUGAGCUUUUGACUUAUAAAAAGUAGCAGUAUUAAUGUCUGGUGCAAUUUUCAAAACCAAAUUGCAGCUUUCUAAAAAGUUAUUUAGGAACUUAUAGAGAAGUUUAAAAAAAUUGACUUCUCUCAUAAUACUACUACUUUUUUAUCACAUUUCUAUAAAAUAAAUAUUUUUAGAACUAAAAAUCCAAAUACAAAAUAACUUAUUUAUAAGUUAUUUUUAAUAUAGUCAUUUAUUAUUUAAACUAUUUUUUUAAAAGUAUCUUAAUUAAGUUGUUUGAAAGUAGCUUAUAAAUAAGUUAUUUUAUAUUUGGAUUUUUAGUUCUAAAAGUCCUUAUUUUAUAAAAAUGUGGUAAAAAGUAGUAGUAUUAUGAGAGAAGUCAUUUUUUUAAACUUCUUUAUAAGUUCCUCAAUAGCUUCUUAAAAAACCGUAAUUUAAUUUUAAAAAUUGUAUCAGACAUUAAUACUACUACUUUUUAUAAGUCAAAAACUCAAAAAAAUUACGUUUAAAACUUCCCAAACAGACCUAAUGUGUGUAGUUUCAGACUUUUGCUUCAUUUAUUUAUACACACAAAGUCUUUUCUUUCAACCAUCAUUAAAUCCAUUCUUUUUUGAAUUUUGAUAACUUGAACCUCCAAUAUUUGCACGAAUUAAAAAAAAAAAGAACGAUAUUAUAAAUAAAAGAGAGACAGUAUCNNNNNNNNNNNNNNNNNNNNNNNNNNNNNNNNNNNNNNNNNNNNNNNNNNNNNNNNNNNNNNNNNNNNNNNNNNNNNNNNNNNNNNNNNNNNNNNNNNNNNNNNNNNNNNNNNNNNNNNNNNNNNNNNNNNNNNNNNNNNNNNNNNNNNNNNNNNNNNNNNNNNNNNNNNNNNNNNNNNNNNNNNNNNNNNNNNNNNNNNNNNNNNNNNNNNNNNNNNNNNNNNNNNNNNNNNNNNNNNNNNNNNNNNNNNNNNNNNNNNNNNNNNNNNNNNNNNNNNNNNNNNNNNNNNNCUAUAAGUAAUGAUAUAACCUAAUUUGUAAACUAGAAAAGUAUUCAAAUACAUUUUAUAUCUUUAAAAAAGUUUAAAAAUUUUGUUCAUAUUUAAUUAAGAAGAUUACGAAAAAAAUGUUAAGAGAAUAUGUUAUUGAUUCAAUAAAUAAAGUUUGAUCUUAAAUCUAAAAGUGGUAGCUCAUUUUAAUUCGAUAUUUUUACUCUUUUACUACUUUUUACUGUAAACAAAAAGAGUUGUCAGCUUGUCAUAGUUCAACAUGUUCUUUAUCAUAUACAUACAAGAAUGGUUAUAAAAGUGGGAGAAAUCAAAAUUUAAUAAUUUAUAAAAAAUAAAAAAGACUGAAUUUAAAAAAAGUUAUAAAACACUAAUUUUUAAUAUUCUGACGUCGAAAAGUUGGCCAAUGUUACAGUGAAGAAAGUAAUUUUUUUCUCACCUGCUGAAAUGUAUUGGAGGAAAAAGAAGAGAACAUGUGAAAUGUUGGUCCGUUAUUGUCCAACAAAUGCUAUAGUGAUAUGAAAUGGAGGUCAGAUAUAAGUUAUAAAAGCUAAUUUUUUUUCUUUCUUUAUGAAUAUGUGGGGCUAACAAAAAAAAUUAAUAAUAAAAAUUAUUACAAAAAUACCAUGAAUAAUAAUAAUAAUAAUAAUAAUAAUAAUAAUAAUAAUAAUAAUAAUAAUAAUAAUNNNNNNNNNNNNNNNNNNNNNNNNNNNNNNNNNNNNNNNNNNNNNNNNNNNNNNNNNNNNNNNNNNNNNNNNNNNNNNNNNNNNNNNNNNNNNCUUAAGCUCAUUUUUCUGUUAAAUAAAAAACUCUCAUUUUUUAUUUACUAUUUUUGUUGUUCUAUUUAUUAUCAUGAUAAAUUCCAUAAAAUUUUGAAGCUAACACCAUUUUUUAUUCAAAAAAUGAGUUCAAGAAUUAUUAUUAUAUGCAAAAUUAACUCCAAUUAAUAAACUACAGUUUUAUCUACAUUUCAUAUAACUCUACAAAUAUGACAGUAACUGCCCAGAAAGAAAAAACUAACAUUCCACGUAUUCCCUUCUCCUUCCUCCAACACAUUUCAAAUGGUGAAGAAAAAAAUCACUUUCUUCACCGUAGCAUUGCCCCGAAAAGUUAGCCAUAACAUACACAAAUAGAUGUUGCAUCUUAUAUAUCGUGUUUAAAUAAUUAAUUUAAGAGAAAGUAUCUCAAAAACUAUAGUGACGCGCAUGUGCAUUCAAGCCAUCGCUUAUUUUAAGGGCAUUCGGGCAACAUCAGAGUUUUACAAAAGAGAACUUAGAUUACCCAUAAAUAAUGUGUAUUCUGUACAGAUAUUCAUUAAGCAAACUUCCAACUUCCAACUUUCCUGCCAACGAGCCGUAGCUAGGAUGGCAUAUGUCCUCCCUCCCUACCUAGAGAUUUCGGAUUCGAAUCUCACCUGAUGUAACUUGGCCGAAAAAAAACUUCAUUCUUUCGAAGAAGAAAAUUUUGCUCACUUGAUGAUAAAAUGGUGCAUAGAUUUUCAUCACCUCUUGUUUUUACUUUCUUCCUUUCUCUUGCAUUAAUUCUCUAAGCUUCUGACUCUUAAGCCUUUGACUGAUGGAUACAGAAGAAAAAUCCCUUUUAUUUGAAUGUUUUGAUGUUCUACCGGUAAAUGAUCUUAGAAAUAUGUCGCUGAUGCAGCUUGUUUUAGCGCUGGGAUUUCGGAGCAUCGGCAGGUGCUGAAUCCACGACUAUUACAGGAAUACCUAAACUUUUCUUUACGCUGGGAACGCUAAUAACUGUAAAGUUCCAAGAGAGAACAAAGGGAUUAGAAAAUAACAAAUAAUAAAAUAAAUGAAUAAUAAGAGCAUAUACUAGAAGUUCGUCUUGGAGGGUUUUAGACUAUCAUGGGAAGAUAACCAAUUAACCACCAUUACAAGAAUACCAAGAUGCUGAUGAAAUCGGUUCACUUCUUGAUACACCAGUAUCAUUCUACAGUGUCUAAAUGCAAUAUGAAUCACACAGUGGAAUCAAUACCCUAAGCAAUAUGUAUUUCAUGAGGAAAAUCCAACUUCCGCCAAUGAAGUGGUGAAUAAAGGAAAAGAGAGAAUUAAUAUUAUAAAGGAAAUUUUGAAAUGACUUACCAAGUCCAUAAAUAAUUAAAAACAAAUUUGAUGUAAGCCAGAAACAUAAUAUAGCCUGCACAAGUAGAAACACGAUCUGAUAUUAAAGAAAAACUACAAACAAAUUAUAAAUAGAAUUCAUAAGUAAAAAGAUAAUCAAUAAUCUAUUACCUAUCCAUGUCUAUAUUAUAUAUAAACAUGCAUGGCAUAAGCCGUUGCUAAACUUUUUGCUUCACUGAAGAUACCCUAAAACAUUCUCUUAAAAAAAGGCCCUUAAACUCAACAAUAAUUACAAUAUUUCUGUUCAUAAUUAUGAAAAAUCUCUUGUUGGUAUAGAAAAUAGAAUAGCAGCUUUUUUCCCGUUUUAAAGUUUUCUAAUGACUAGAAUACAAUCUUACUUUGCUUUGUUUUGACUUUUGAGUCAAGAGAACAUUUUUUCAUGUUUCCUAGUAAGUUUCAAACAUUCAAUAAUUAUAUUAAUUUUCAAAUUAUUAGGACAUUUUCAAUAAAAAGGUACUCAUUAAGAAGUACAAAGGAUGAGACGCUAAAAAGAUUAUUUAUAAUUCUAUGAAAGUAAGUGUGAAGUGCCAUUUGAAAAAAAGUCUGACAAUAACAAUAACAAUAACAACAACAAUAAUAAUAAUAAAAAUAGAGACCACUAGUACCAUUUGCCAAAAGAAACUUUCGAUUGAUCUUCUGUCACACUAACAAAGUUGAUAGUCUCUAGGGCUCUUUCCAAGUUCAUAUAAUAAAUUAUCUCAACCACACAGAUGUGUGGCGGCACAGAGACGUAAUUCCUUCAAAAAAGAGCCAAGCCAAAAAAGUUUACCUUUGGAAGUUCCAUGGCACAAGGGACUACAAGAACAGAAACAGCCCUAGAGAGAUUUUUCAUGGUAGUACUGCUCUCCACAACCGUACCAUAAGAGGCUUCUUGAACAAUAUGCUGAGGAACAGGAUAAAAGUAUAAAACCAAUAUAAUAUGAACCGGAAUAAAACAAAGAACAACACUCUUGGUAACUCCAAAACUACGUUUCUCAUGACUUAUUAAGUAACUGGUCUAAAAGUGGAUUGAUGGCAUAGAACUUAAAACAGAAAUCUAAAACAAAUAUUGACAAGAAUUAAAGAAGCAACAAAGAAAGACAACAGAAAUGAAAGUUGAAAGAGAAGCUCUGGAAACAGGAUGCUGACCUCUACUAUUACCAAGAAUGACAAUGCAGUCAAAACAGGAAAAAUGUAUAAGGAAUCUGGAGUUGUGAGAUCAGUAAACCAGUAGGCUCCACCAUGCUUGAAUGAUGGCAUUUUUUCUGCCAUGUUUGAUAUCUGUCAUUAAACAAGAUAAUGUGAAUCAAUAGAAAAAUAUUAAGGAUCCUGAAUCCUCAGACUCUUAUAAUUAGGGAGAAUAUCAAAUUUAAAUUCUACUUACUGCACAGAAGAAGCUGAUCAAGAUAGAAGCUUGAAUAAAGAACCCCUGCAAUGAUGGAAAUCGACUCGCACCAAAUCUGCAUUAUUAGAAUCAAAGAAAAAAGGAUAUAAAGGGAAACAGAAGAUCUAAGAAGUUUAAUUUACUAGUUGGGCUCUUGAUAUAUACCGCAGUCCAGCAGUUGUGCUUGCUAGUUUAUAUGUUCAAAGAAGUUCUUAAAUAUUAAUAAUAACUAGUCCAACUUACAUUCUGGAGAGAGGGAUGGAAAAAAUAGAAAACAAAAAGUUUUAAAACAUAUACUUAUCUGCAAGCAAACCAAUGAUACACUUACUCCUUAAAUAGCUUCGCAAUUUGUUUCUGACCUUCCGCAACAGCUGCAGGAUCCGAUUCCUAAAAUCAUUAUUGCAAUCGCUCUUUUUAUCGAAAAGAGAAAUGUUAUGGCAACCACAACCAAAAUUGUUUCUAUGGUCCAAUUCCAUUUCAAAGGCUGAAUGAUGGUCGGAUUCCAAUCCAAAAGAACGACCUUAUUGCUCAUUUUCCAUCCUUUGUUCCCAUUCUAUCUACACCAUUUUAGUCCUUUAUGACCUCUUAUACAAAACACUUCAAAUAGUGGUAGAUGGAGAAAAAGAGUCUAGUUAUGCAGAGUUGUUUGUUUUGAUUGCCAAAGUAGCUCUCAAAAAAAAAAAAAAAUGACAGAACCCCAGGACAGAUACUUAAUAAUUGAACUAAAUCAAUCUUCAGAAAGUCUAUUGAGUAAAACAAAUAUUUGAAGAUAAAAAGCAAUGGAACUGUGAGGUUUCAUUAACUUUAACACACUUGCAUAUCUCAAAAAAUCCACCAUUACCUUGUCUUCCAUCUGUGCCUUUAUUUCAUCUACUUUAAGCCUCAAUACCUGCAUCAGAAAUGAAAAUGGUAAGCCUAGCAACGCAGUUGAUCAGAGCACGGAGAAAGCUAAUUUUGAUAUAACAAAUUAACAACUACGAUAGCUGCAGGGAUUAUUCUGAAUGCACCUAAAAAGAAACUGUGGGAAGCAAGGGAUUAAUUAAUCCUCAAACCCAUCUGAGGAGGGAUCUUAUGAGGAGUAAAGAGAAGAAAAGGGAAGCUGAAACCUCCUUCCCUCCAACUGUUCAAAACUUUAAAUCAAAUUUAUUCCAAAGAGGACAUAGAUGGCCAUUAUUUUUACCAAGAAAUAAAGAUGAAUGAAAGAAGCUAUGAGCAGCACAACGUACAUGGAAUCUGGAAUUAGCCUUAAGUUGAUUUACUAAGGAUGGAAUUGUUGCGAUUCGAACCAAGAAGGUUGUCAUAACUAUGGCUGCCCACCUGAAAGGAAGAAAGAGGAAAAAAGAAGCCAUUGGAGAACUGAAUUCCGUAACAUCUAUCUAGUAACAAUGUAAUGAUAAAAGAACAAUCUUGCUAAGACAAUCUCAAGAGCCCUAAAUUACAAAUAAACCUUUAAUUCUGGCAAAAGCUAAAAAAAUUCCACAUAAUGGCAACUUCAAAUACACAAUUAACCAAUUCUUAACGAUGAAAAACUACAAAAUUUUCUCAAAACUCAGCAAUAAUGUUUUACACUCACCAGUUCAUGCCAGUGAAGGAAUGCACAUAGUCGAUGGCAUACUGUACCAUCUUCACCGGUAAAAGAGAAUCAGCGGCGGCAAUCGCAACUUCGUCGACGACGGAACCAGCCUGAGAAGCUACGGUAUCAAUGGUCGUUUCGGCGAGCACAUCUGCCACGUCGAUCCCGAAAUUGAUCUUAUCGGAAUCAUCAUUCAACGUAGACAUGUAUCGGCACAAACUAUAUCCAGAAAACGUGUUAUUGAAAAUCGUUCUUCGUUUAGAAGAAGCACCGAACCCCGUUGAUCCCUUGAGGAAGCUCCCGAAGGACCGCGCUUGGAUCAAACUAGUUAUUGCCGCUGGAACCGGUUUUUCUUGUUGCCGUUGGUUGGGUUCGUCGAUGGUGUGGUGGAGAACGUAGCUGAAAGAAGGGCGGAAGUUGCAGUUUGAGAGGUUGGUUCUUCGCAGGAGGUAGCGUCGAUAAGCCAUUGGUGAGAACUGAAAGGAGGUGAGAAUUAGGUUAAAGCAUGAACAAGCGUAGAACGAAAUUGAGCAAUUCAGAACGUAGGAAUGUUGAUAUGUUUGGCAUGAAACGUGAUUGGUGGAAGGUGGCGUUACGGCGUCACUUGAAUUUGAGUACGGUGGAUCAGUGCAGCUGCGGGGUGGCAGAGCCUAAUGCUGCUGGACUGCUGUUUACUGGUAGUGGUAGCUCAGCGUUUGUUUCUCCGGCUCAAAAACGCUAUCGUUUCAUAUUUUGGAGGUUUUUUUUUUCUAAAUUUACUUAAAAAUAAAAGAUGUUUUUAUAUUAACUUUUAUAUUAACGCAAAAGCUUACACAGACAAAUUUUUAAUUUAAAACUAAUACACCAAUAAAUUAUUAGAUUUAGUUAAAAAUGGGUUUUAUAAGUAUUUGUCACACAACAAGUAAGAUUUUUUUUAUAUACUCAAUGUAUUAAACUUUUUUCUUUUAAGACAUUCUUUUAUCUUUUUAUUGUUUUUAACUAGUAUCUUCUNNNNNNNNNNNNNNNNNNNNNNNNNUUAUCUUCUGUUUAAUUUAAAAAAAAAAAGUAUAUUUUGUCAAAAUAAAUUGAUGACCAAUACUUUUCUUUUAUAAUCUAUUUUGCAUUUAAAUUAAUGGCAACCAAAUACCUAUUUUUAUAUUUAGAAUGUUAGCUCUAGCAUUUCUUAAAAAAAAUAAAAAUGAUUAUAAAAGUGGGAAAAAUCAAAUUUUAAUAUUUUAUAAAAAAAUAAAAAAGACUGAUUUUUAAAGAGUUAUAAAACACUAAUUUUCAAUAUUCUGACGUCGAAAAGUUAGCCAUAACAUACACAAAUCAUAGAUGUUGCAUAUAGGGAUGGCAAAAUUUCCCGAGAUGCGGGGAUCCCUGCGGGGACUGCCUCGAAUGGAGAUUUGAUUGUGGAGAAUUUUUUUCGCGAAGAUGAGGAUGGAGGACAAAAUUCCCCCGAAGUAGGCGCGGGGACCCGAGCGGGGAUCCCCACCCCGUUCCCGCUAUUCCCCGAAAUUUAUAAACUCCUUAAAUUAUUCUUAAUAGUUUAUUUCUCAUACAUGUUUUUUAGUCAUUUCUCACACACAUAUAUAUAGAAACACAAAACUCCUAAUCUUUAUUUGCAUAACUCCUCUUCAAUUCAGAGAUCUUAAGGUUGUCCAUAUUCCAUUCAACCUCUCUGCAGUCACCCCCUCGUCACCUUUCUCAUCGCAUCGUCACACCUCACCGUGUCAUCAACCUUACCGCGUCGUAAUUUCUAUUUGCGGCGUUCCUUUUCGUAACUCUGCCAUCGUGUCUAUUCUCCUCUCUGUUGCCGCGUCUCCUAUCUCGUCCACUGCUUUUUCCUUUGGCUCGUCGUUGCGUUCCCCGCGUUAUUUCGAAAGAAGUCACCGUCGUGUCAUUUAGACUUUUUGUAUAAAAUCUUGCAGUUUUUGUAUAAGAUAGAUACUUGUAGCUCUAUUCAUAUAGAAAUUAAUAAUUAAUUAGAACUAUUAUGUAGAUGGAAAAUGGGGUCCUCGCGGGGAAUGGGACCCCGUGGGAAAUGGGGAUGGGGAACAAAUAUGAGGGCGGGGACGGGGAGCAGGGAGGCAUCCCCCGCCCCCGCCCUGCCCGAUUGACAUCCCUAGUUGCAUUUUAUAUAUCGUGUUCAAAUAAUUAAUUUAAGGACUAUGUUAUGUGUAUAUUAAAGUCAAUCACCAGUAUAAAAUACUUGUUAGAAUAUAAAUAUACAUUAAAAAUAAAUUAAAUUACACAAAUAUUUAUACACAAAUACAUUGAUGACUAAUUUAGUGUACAAAUAGUAUUUUUGUUAAUUUAAAUAUCUCAGUGAUAGGGGUGUUCGCGGUGCAGUUUGAUUCGGUUUUAAGGAAAAAAGUCAUCCGAUCCGAACGCUUAACCUAUGUGCGGUGCGGUUUGGAUUGGAUGGAAUUUUUUUGGAAUCUGAUCCAAUCCGAUCCAAUUACAAGCGGUUUGGAUUGCGAUUUUUAAAUAAAAAAAAUUAAAUACAUAUAACAAGUCUCAAUAUCAAAUUUUAAAUAAUCAACAAUGACAUAACAAGUCUUAACAAUAUCUUAAAAAGCCAACGAUAACAUAAUAAUAGAAAUAACAUAAAAUAUUUAUUAAAUAAUAAUAAUACAUGAAUAAUAGAAAAAUGUAUAACAAAUUGAACAUAUUAUAAGUAUAAUUGUAAAUAUAAUAAUAAAAUAAUAAUAUUAUAGCACAUUGUGCGGUUUGGAUUGGAUUGGAUCGGUUAUGAAAAGUAGAUCCAAAAUCCGAUCCAAUCCAGCUGUUUGCAAAAAAUAAAAUCCAAUCAAAUACGAAUUAGUGCGGUUUUAAUCGAUUUUCGAUUUGAAUCGAAUUGGAUGAGCGGUUUAAUUUAGAUCGGUUUGAAUUUGAACACCACUACUCAGUGACACACAUUUGCAAAUUCGAGCCAUCGCUUAUUUUGCGGGCAUUCAGGCAUCAUCAAACUUAGAUUAUCCAUAAAAAGAGUGUAUUCUGUAUAGAUAUUCAUUAAGCAAAAGUUCAAACUUCCAACUUCUCCGCCAACGAGCCAUAGCUCAGAUGGCAUAUGUCCUUUCUCCCUACCUAGAAGUUUUGGAUUCGAACCUAGAGGUUUUGGAUUUGAAUCUCACUUGGUUUAAAAAAAACUUCAUUCUUCGAAGAAGAAAAAUUUGCUCACUUGAUGAUAAAAUGGAGCAUAGAUUUUCACUGUAUUAAUUCUCUAAGCUUCUGACUCUUAAGCCUUUGACUGAUGGAUACAGAAGAAAAAACCCUAUCAUUUAAAUGUCUCGAUGUUCUACCGGUAAAUGAUCUUUCAAAUAUGUCGCUGAUGCAGCUUGUUUUAGCGCUGGGAUUUUGGAGCAUCGGCAGGUGCUGAAUCCACGACUAUUACAGGAAUACCUAAACUUUUCUUUACGCUGGGAACGCUAAUAACUGUAAAGUUCCAAGAGAGAACAAAGGGAUUAGAAAAUAACAAAUAAUAAACUAAAUGAUUAAUAAGAGCAUAUACUAGAAGUUUGAAAAUCGAAAUCAAAAUCCUGAUGUAGGCUAUUCAGCCCCAGUAAAACUUGAAGCAUAUAAGACUAUAAGUUCGUCUUGGAGGUUUUUAGACUAUCAUGGGAAGAUAACCAAUUAACCAACAUUACAAGAAUACCAAGAUGCUGAUGAAAUCGGAUCACUUCUUGAUACACCAGUAUCAUUCUACAGUGUCUAAAUGCAAUAUGAAUCACACAGUGGAAUCAAUAUUCAAAGCAAUAUGUAUUUCAUGAGGAAAAUCCAACUUCUGCCAAUGAAGUGGUGAAUAAAGGAAAAGAGAGAAUUAAUAUUAUAAAGGAAAUUUUGAAAUGACUUACCAAGUCUAUAAAUAAUUGAAAACAAAUUUGAUGCAAGCCAGAAACAUAAUAUAGCCUGCACAAGUAGAAACUCGAUCAGAUAUUAAAGAAAAACAACUACAAACAAAAUAUAAAUAGAAUUCAUAAGUAAAAUGAUAAUCAAUAAUCUAUUACCUAUCCACGUCUAUAUUAUAUAUAAACAUGCAUGGCAUAAGCCGUUGCCAAACUUUUUGCUUCACUGAAGAUACCCUAAAACAUUCUCUUAAAAAAAGACCCUUAAACUCGACAAUGAUUACAAUAUUUCUGUUCAUAAUUAUGAAAAAUCUCUUCUUGGUAUAGAAAAUAGAAUAGCAGUUUUUUUCCCCUUUUAAAAUUUUCUAAUGACUAGAAUACAAUCAUACUUUGCUUUGUUUUGACUUUUGGGUCAAGAGAACAUUUUUCAUGAUUCCUAGUAAGUUUCAAACAUUCAAUAAUUAUAUUAAUUUUCAAAUUAUUAGGACAUUUUCAAUAAAAAGGUACUCAUUAAGAAGUACAAAGGAUGAGGUGGUAAAAAGAUUAUUUAUAAUUCUAUGAAAGCAAGUGUGAAGUGCCAUUUGACGAACCCAUUUGGCAAAAAAGUCUGAUAAUAAUAAGACCACUAGUACCAUUUGGCAAAAAAAAUUUUCAAUUGAUCUUCUGUCUCACUAACAAAGUUGAUAGUCUCUAGGUCUCUUUCCAAGUUCAUAUAAUAAAUUAUCUCAAACACACAGAUGUGUGGGGGCAUAGGGAAGUAAUUCCUUCAAAAAAGAGCCAAGCCAAAAAAGUUUACCUUUGGAAGUUCCAUGGCAAAAGGGACUACAAGAACAGAAACAGCCCUAGCGAGAUUUUUCAUGGUAGUACGGGUCUCCACAAGCAUACAAUGAGAGCCUUCAUGAACAUUAUGCUGGGGAACAGGAUAAAAGUAUAAACCCAAUACAAUAUGAACGGGAAUAAAACAAAUAACAACACUCUUGGUGACUCCAAAACUACGUUUCUCAUGACUUAUUAAGUGACCGGUCAUAAAGUGGAUUGAUGGCAUAGAACUUAAAACAGAAAUCUAAAACAAAUAUUGACAAGAAUUCAAGAAGCAACAAAGAAAGACAAUAGAAAUGAAAGUUGAAAGAGAAGCUCUGGAAACAGGAUGCUGACCUCUACUAUUACCAAGAAUGACAAUGCAGUCAAAACAGGAAAAAUGUAUAAGGAAUCUGGAGUUGUGAGAUCAGUAAACCAGUAGGCUCCACCAUGCUUGAAUGAUGGCAUUUUUUCUGCCAUGUUUGAUAUCUUCCAUUAAACAAGAUAAUGUGAAUCAAUAGAAACAGAUUAAGGAUCCUGAAUCCUCAGACUCUUACAAUUAGGGAGAAUAUCAAAUUUAAAUUCAACUUACUGCACAGAAGAAACUGAUCAAGAUAGAAGCUUGAAUAAUUAGCCCAUGAAAUAAUGGAAGUGGACUCACACCAAAUCUGCAUUAUUAGAUCAAAGAAAAAAGGAUAUAAAGUGAAACAGAAAAUCUUAGAAGUUUAAUUUACUAGUUGGGCUCUUGAUAUAUACCACAGUCCAGCAGUUGUGCUUGCUAGUUUGUAUGUUCAAAGAAGUUCUUAAAUAUUGAUAAUAACUAGUCCAACUUACAUUCUGGAGAGAGGGAUGGAAAAAAAAAAAAAGAAAACAAAGAAAGUUUUGAAACAUAUACUUAUCUGCAAGCAAACCAAUGAUACACUUACUCCUUAUAUAGCUUUGUAAUUUGUUUCUGACCUUCGGCAACAGCUGCAGGACCCGAUGCCUGAAAUCAUUAUUGCAAUCACUCUUUUUAUCAAAAAGAGAAAUGUUAUGGCAAUCACAACCAAAAUUGUUUCUAUGGUCCAAUUCCAUUUCAAAGGCUGAAUGAUGGUCGGAUUCCAAUCCAAAAGAACAACCUUAUUGCUCAUUUCCAUCCUUUGUUCCCAUUCUUUCUACACUAUUUAGUCCUCUAUGACCUCUUAUACAAAUUACAAAACACUUCAAAUAGUGGUAGAUGGAGAAAAAGAGUCUAGUUAUGCAGAGUUGUUUGUUUUGAUUGCCAAAGUAGCUCUAAAAAAAAAAAAAAAACAUGACAGAACCCCAGGACGGAUACUUAAUAAUUGAACUAAAUCAAUCUUCAGAAAGUCUAUUGAUUCAAACAAAAAUUUGGAGAUACAAAGCAAUGGAACUGUGAUGUUUCAUUAACUUUAACACACUUGCAUAUCACAAAAAAUCCACCAUUACCUUGUCUUCCAACUGUGCGAUUAUUUCAUCUACUUUAAGCCUCAAUACCUGCAUCAGAAAUGAAAAUGGUAAGCCUAGCAACGCAGUUGAUCAGAGCACGGAGAAAUCUAAUUUUGAUAUAACAAAUUAACAACUACAAUAGCUGCAGGGAUUAUUCUGAAUGCACCUAAAAAGAAACUGUGGGAAGCAAGGGAAUUAACCCUCAAACCCAUGUUAGAGGGGGAUCUUAUGAGGAGUAAAGAGAAGAAAAGGGAAGCUGAAACCUCCUUCCCUCCAACUGUUUAAAUCAAAUUUAUUCCGAAGAGGACAUAGAUUGCCAUUAUUUUUUACCAAGAAAUAAAGAUGAAUGAAAGAAGCUAUGAGCAGCAUAACGUACACGGAAUCUGGAAUUAGCCUUAAGUUGAUUUACUAAAAAUGGAACUGUUGCGAUUCGAACCAAGAAGGUUGUCAUAACUAUGGCUGCCCACCUGAAAGGAAGAAAGAGGAAAAAAGAAUCCAUUGGAGAAAUGAAUUCCGUAACAUCUAUCUUGUAACAAUGUAAUGAUAAAAGAACAAUCUUGCUAAGAAAAUCUCAAGAACCCUAAAUUACAAAUAAACCUUUAAUUCUGGCAAAAGCUAAAAAAAUUCCACAUAAUGGCAACUUCAAAUACACAAUUAACCAAUUCUUAACGAUGAAAAACUACAAAAUUUUCACAGAACUCAGCAAUAAUGGUUUACACUCACCAGUUCAUGCCAGUUAAGAAAUGCACAUAGUCGAUGGCAUACUGCACCAUCUUUAUCGGUAAAAGAGAAUCAGCGGCGGCAAUCGCAACUUCGUCGACGACGGAACCAGCCUGAGAAGCUACGGUAUCAAUGGUCGUUUCGGCGAGCACAUCUGCCACGUCGAUCCCGAAGUUGAUCUUAUCGGAAUCAUCAUUCAACGUAGACAGGUAUCGGCACAAACUAUAUCCAGAAAACGUGUUAUUGAAAAUCGUUCUUCGUUUAGAAGAAGCACCGAACCCCGUUGUUCCAUUGAGGAAGCUCCCGAAGGACCGCGCUUGGAUCAAACUAGUUAUUGCCGCUGGAACCGGUUUUUCUUGUUGCCGUUGGUUGGGUUCGUCGAUGGUGUGGUGGAGAACGUAGCUGAAAGAAGGGUGGAAGUUGCAGUUUGAGAGGUUGGUUCUUCGCAGGAGGUAGCGUCGAUAAGCCAUUGGUGAGAACUGAAAGGAGGUGAGAAUUAGGUUAAAGCAUGAAAAUGCGUAGAACGAAAUUGAGCAAUUCAGAACGCAGGAACGUUGAUAUGUUUGGCAUGAAACGUGAUCGGUGGAUGGUGGCG